rnacentral:tmRNA from 2 species
GGGGCUGAUUCUGGAUUCGACGGGAUUUGCGAAACCCAAGGUGCAUGCCGAGGGGCGGUUGGCCUCGUAAAAAGCCGCAAAAAAAUAGUCGCAAACGACGAAACCUACGCUUUAGCAGCUUAAUAACCUGCUUAGAGCCCUCUCUCCCUAGCCUCCGCUCUUAGGACGGGGAUCAAGAGAGGUCAAACCCAAAAGAGAUCGCGUGGAUGCCCUGCCUGGGGUUGAAGCGUUAAAACGAAUCAGGCUAGUCUGGUAGUGGCGUGUCCGUCCGCAGGUGCCAGGCGAAUGUAAAGACUGACUAAGCAUGUAGUACCGAGGAUGUAGGAAUUUCGGACGCGGGUUCAACUCCCGCCAGCUCCA